CCAGCACAGACCCUGGGCCGGACCCCCAGGCCCUCGAGAGCCACCCAAUAACACACAAGGUUAAUCUUACCAUCGGCUCCACUUCAGCUCACAGGAAACAGCUGUUUACCUGGGCGAGGUGCUCAGCCGGGCAGGUGGCCAGUUCCCGGGCUUUACUUCCGCCUCCGGUGUCCAGGGCCCCCUAGGAAGCUGGGGCGGUGGGGCAGCCAGCUCUCCACGCACUGCCAGGAGCUGUUUGUAAGGAACGAGUCGGCCUUGUUGUGUACACAGUAUCCACCCUAGCAACCGCCCCUGCCGGGCCAGAGUGGACAACCACCCUUCCUUCCUGCCUGCCCAGCCCUGCCUCUCCUCACGGUGGCUGCCUCCCCCAGUUGCAUGGCGGGCAUCAUGGACCAGCAUCCCCAAGGGCCUUGGGUCGUGCCACCUGGGUCAGGAGCCUCUGUUACUGGCAAAUCAGCAUCAGCCACAUGAAGGGGAGGAGGCCAGGUUCCAGCCCUGUUCAGAGUCAGCGUGACCCAUCAGGGAGCUCCUGGCCCCUGGUUCUGUGCCCCGAUGCCAUCAGGGAGUGGGAAGCAGGGAUGCAGCCGAGUUGAAGGCGCUCAGCUGGGCCCAGCCCCCAAGAGGCUGGGAGGGACCAUGAGGAAGGAACAUGGGGCUCAGGACCCUCUAGAACUCAAGCUGGGUCUGGGGGACUGACUUGGCUGCCCUGGCUCUGUGUGGGCUGCCGUCGGGAUCACAAGUCCCACGCUUUGAAGGCCAUCACCAUGCUUCUGAGACAGCUUCCUCUGAUUCAGGCCAGUGGAAAGCGGCCUGGCCUGCCAAGUCACAGCCUCUGGCCGUGAUAAGAAAUGGCUCCCCUGGGCUGGUGAGGGGCCUCCUUGGCAGGCUGCAGGCCCGCCAGUGCCUCUCUUGCUCAUUCACUGACUGGCCGAAUCAGCAGCAAGGCAGCCAGCUCCCCAGGUUCACGGUCAUGGGUUUCUGCAUGGUGCAUUGCCCCGCCUGGGGAGCCGUCCUGGCACCUUGGGUUUCUGAUUCUGCCAUUUUUGGUGGAGGGACACCUGGUUUCCUUAAACAUCUGGGUCAUGAGGUCCUGCAAACUUCUGCAUUUAGGCUGUCAAUCCCACCACUUGGGUCUUUUUGUGCCUUUGGGGCUGGCACUCUGAGGUGAGCCUGGGAGGUGACCCCUCCCGCAGCUGCUGGCUUCUCUCUCGCAGCUCCAGCUCCAGAAAUCCCAGUACCUGCAACUGGGCCCCAGCCGAGGCCAGUACUAUGGUGGGUCCCUGCCCAACGUGAACCAGAUCGGGAGUGGCACCAUGGACCUGCCCUUCCAGGUGAGUGCCCCGCCCCCUGGCCCUGCCCCCAUUGUGGGGAGCUUCCCCCAGCCUCCCACUGGGGGCCAGACAUUGAGGACAGCUGGGGUUAUCAGACAGUUGGCGGAGCCCACCCAACCCCUGCCUUCUCCUUGUCUGCCCUGGGAACCAGAGGAAGCAGAGUGGCCCCACCAGGGUGCCCCUGCAGCCCAUUCCCCAUCAGCAGACCCCGAGGCGAGCCCUCCAUCUGGCCUCCAGCAUUUCGGCAGCCGCUACACCUGUUGGCCGGCUGUGCGGCAGCGGGAACCGCUCGGGGCCACUGGGGCUUGGCUCUGUCCUGCCUCACUAAUCCGCAAGCCCAGCAAUUCUCAGAAGGAGGCCCGGCGGCCUGACCCCACUUGUCUGCAAACGUUUCUUGGCAGAGGCCCACACAGCGCGGCUCCCGCAGGCCGCACAGCCGCCGUGCACAGCCUUAUCGUAAACAGGAGAUAAGGCCCACAGUGGCCCUCUUCCCUGUCCCUGGUCUGCGGGUGGAGAUGGGGAUGGGGUGGGGCCAAGGGAGCUGGCCUAUGAAUCAGGGCCACCCCCAGGACGGUGUCUGGGCUCUGCAUGGACAGGUCCCCCUGGGGGGGUCACACCUACUCUGUGGCUGAGAAAACCAACUCGGACACAGCCAUGGCCACUGACAGGCCAGGUGGAGCCGGGGCCCCUCCUGAGUCACCCACCAGCUCCACCGCCACCUGCACCGCCGCUGGACAGGGCAGGGAUCCUUGGGCUGGCCACCUCGGUGCGCCUGUUCUGGCAUACACAGUGCGGGCCAUCACUGAUGCUGGGCGUGUUCUUUGUCACAGCCCUUCCCGGCCGGGUUUUCUCCCCUCCUGCCCUUCUCUCCCUUUCCUGUUUCUCCUGUCCCCUCUUCCCUGGAGGAGAGUCUCUCUCUGGGCACCUUGCAAGCUCAGCCUGAGUAGGGCUGAGGGGCACAGGACCCUCUUGGGUGUCUGUCGCCCGAGGCCCACAGCCCGGGGGGAGGUCCCACGCAUCCCGCCUUUGGGGCCAGGCAAGGCAGCAGCGUCUCAAAGUCUCGGUUCUUUGCAUUUUCAGCCCAGCGGAUUUCUGGGGGAGGCCCUGGCAGCGGCUCCUGUCUCUCUGGUAAAUGAGCCCCCAGGCUGAGGCCGCGGCGUCCCCGGCGCCAGCCUGCAAGACCCCGACCCGUGUGCGGGCGCUGGGGAUCCCUGAGCUCCCCAAGCGGCCGCCCCUGCGGCUCCCAGGGAGGUGGAGGUGUCCCGUCCGCCAAAUGGAAAUGGAUCCACUCCGCACCCCCAUCUCGGGAAGUGCGUAUGGUCGCGUCGAGAGGCCCUGGGGACUCUUGGGGUCCAUCUGGGGCAGAUGCCAUAGCCGCGCAUCCCCAUCUGGGGUCCAGCAGAGCAGAAUCCCAGCAUGUGCCCCAAAGCUGCAUGGUCCGUCCCUAUAUAUACACACACACAAACACACACGCACACAUACACACACGUGUGCACGCAUCUCCCAAACCAGGCCAGCAGGCAGGACGUGGUGAGCCCGGGUGUGGCCAGCCCCUGCUUCAUUCUGCCUCUGACUCGGCUUUGGCUGCUUCAGUUUCCCUCUGGGCUUCAAGGCAUCUCUGGAAGGAGAUGAAUUGCCCCUACCCUGAGGAGCCUGUGCACUGGACAGCACAGUUCCCACCCUCAUCGUCACGGGCCCACGUCUCCCAUGCCCACAGCCUUUUGGGGGCAAGAGCCACAGAAAGACCCAAACCAGCAGAAUUCAUGCUGGAUCGAAGAAAGACUUGAGGGAGAGCCUGCUGAUCUCACCCCGGUCAGAUGGCAAGUGGGCAACACAGGGUCAGGGCGGGCUCCUGGCAGCCCCGGGGGCAUGAGGCCGGGCAUGUAGCAGGGCCUGGGGAGGGCCAGCCUGGUGCCAGCCCCAGGUGCUGGGAGGAAGCCCCGUCCAGCCAAGCAGUGGGCCAUGGCUCCGGAAGGCGCCUGUACUUGGCUCUGGUGGUGCCUGGAGUGCCUGGAGGAGGCUGCGGGGGAGGGUGUGUGGGGGCCGCGUCUCAAUCAAGAGCAGCCCUGGGCUCCACAAGGAAGCCUCCCAGGAACUCGCGCUUGGCCAGGUGGGCCCCAAAACAGUCCUGGGCUGGAAGCUCCUGGGCCGUCUCUUGGCAGGCCCCU
rnacentral:lncRNA from 1 species